UACGAAGGGGGCUAGCGUUGCUCGGAAUCACUGGGCGUAAAGGGUGCGUAGGCGGGUCUUUAAGUCAGGGGUGAAAUCCUGGAGCUCAACUCCAGAACUGCCUUUGAUACUGAGGAUCUUGAGUACGGGAGAGGUGAGUGGAACUGCGAGUGUAGAGGUGAAAUUCGUAGAUAUCGGGAGGAACACCGGUGGCGAAGGCGGCUCUCUGGACCACUACUGACGCUGAGGCGCGAAAGCUAGGGGAGCAAACAGG
rnacentral:rRNA from 1 species